UACGUAGGGGGCAAGCGUUGUCCGGAUUUAUUGGGCGUAAAGAGCGUGUAGGCGGCCAUGCAGGUCCGUUGUGAAAACUCGAGGCUCAACCUCGAGACGCCGGUGGAAACCGUAUGGCUAGAGUCCGGAAGAGGAGAGUGGAAUUCCUGGUGUAGCGGUGAAAUGCGCAGAUAUCAGGAAGAACACCCGUGGCGAAGGCGGCUCUCUGGGACGUGACUGACGCUGAGGUGCGAAAGCGUGGGGAGCAAACAGG
rnacentral:rRNA from 1 species